GAGAGGAGGCUCCCACGUGAUGCGAAGCAGCACGUUAUAAUUGGGGCCGACGACAUGCCGCCGACGCCAGAGGCGGAGGGGCGAUACCUUGA
rnacentral:sRNA from 1 species